AUUGAACGCUAGCGGGAUGCCUUACACAUGCAAGUCGAACGGAGUGGCGAACGGGUGAGUAAUGUAUCGGUACGUGCCCAGUAGCGGGGGAUAACUACGCGCAAGCGUAGCUAAUACCGCAUACUAUUGGAGCGGCCGAUAUCGGAUUAGCUAGUUGGUGGUGUAACGGUUCCCCAAGGCGACGAUCCAUAGCUGGUUUGAGAGGACGACCCGCCACACUGGGACUGAGACACGGCCCAGACUCCUACGGGAGGCAGCAGUGGGGAAUUUUGGACAAUGGGGGAAAGCCUGAUCCAGCCAUGCCGCGUGUAUGAAGAAGGCCUUCGGGUUGUAAAGUACUGUCAGCGAGGAGGCGUUAUUCGCAGAAGAAGCACCGGCUAACUCCGUGCCAGCAGCCGCGGUAAUAC
rnacentral:rRNA from 1 species